rnacentral:lncRNA from 1 species
UUUUUCUUCUUUACAUUCAUAUUUAUUUAUUUAAUUUGUAAAUUUUUAUUAAAAUAUUUUUUUUCGCUGCAUCGCGCGGGUCACUACACUAGUAUAUAUAGAAUUAGGCUGGAAUACUAUUGAUAGCAAAACGCACUUUUUGCCAUCAAAUUUUUAACACUUAAAUGGGAAAUUAUAGGAUUAGGAUGAUAUUAGUCAGUUAGAGUUGAGUGGUCCCCCUAGGGUUGAGUGGUCCCCACUGGGUUAUAGUAUUUAAUCCAAUGAUUAAAAAUGAUGAAAAGAGUUGAUCCAAAGGCUAAAAACUUGAUAGCAAAAAGGACGUUUUGCUAUCAAUAGUAUUCUAGCCCAACUCUAUAUAUAUAUAUA